CAGUGGCGGGGGCGGGGGCGGGGGGCGGUCAGGAGGGGUGGGUAGGGGUGAAGGGGUGGGGUCGUCCCUUUUUCAGGGUGCUCCGACCAGGCCGACCUGAAGCCUGAGGAACCCGGCUGCAAGAUCUAGACUCUCCUUUGCGUGGUCCUGGGCAAGCCCCUACUCCCAGCUGGGUCAAUUUCUUGUCUGAAACAUCACUGAGGUUCUAAGAAGACAGGAUCUAGAAGUUUCUGCCAUUCAGCCUGGGGAUUUUAGAUGCAUUGUAGCCUGGGAGGUGGAGUGCUGUCUGUGCUCUAUUGCCUGCCUCACUGAAUAGAUGGAGAGAGCCAGCCUCCACAUGGGUCUCUGCGAGUUGGGGGCAAAGGAAGACACGGCCACUGAGGCCCAGAGAAGACACUUGUUCAAGGCCGCACCACGGGAACUAGAACCCAGAUCUUGAUCUACCCUCGCUCUCCCCGGCUGAACCCCCAGAGCAUCUCUGGGCCUUAGGGUGGGGGGAGCCCCCAUACUCACACAAGCCAUGAUUGAAGAGAGGAGGAUGUUCCUGGAACUUCGGCACCAGCUGUCCGAAGACUCUGCAGGAGAAAUGGGUUUCGGGCCGCUCCCACCCUUUUAACGGGACCAGACCCCGUUCCCUGACCAAGGAUUGAACCCGUGCCAACUGCAGUGAACGGGCAGAGUCUUAACCACUGGACUGCCAGGGAAGUUCCAGAAGCACUGAAGAGCUAAGAAGAUGUGGACCAGGGGUGACUCACAUCUGGAGGCCCUGCCCUGAGCUCGCUGCCUCCCCAGCCCCCAUCUUCCUCCAGAGACUGAGGCCCACGCUGGCACAGGAGGAGAGGGGAGGGCAAGGGGCUGAGAGGCAGGCCCAGAGAGGUUGGGUGGCACCCCCUGUGAGCCCCUCACCCCUCCUCCUAGACCAAGCCAGCUGCCUCAGAAACCAACCACUUUUGUGCUUCACUUUUUCCUCCAGGGCCUCCUUCCAAACCUCUGAAUUCGGGAGGGGUGGAUGGUGCCCAGCUCCACUGCUCCCCCUCUGAGGCCCACAGACACCCUCUGUGCCUGGACAAGGAAUGAGGGUAUUUCAGGAGGAGCCCUGGACCAAAGCCAGAGAUGCUUCAGAUGCAGGCCCUGCUGUGACAGCCAUCAGGAAUCCCCAAGCUACACAGUUUGGAGAGCUUCUAGGUUGGUGAACAUGCCCACAUGUUGGGAGGGUCACACACCCUAACCACACCGGGACAGCAGCUCUUCUCUUGGUGCCCUCCAGGACCUUGCCCUGUGUGUCUUCAUCUCACUGUUCACCGGUAU